UAAUGUUUCUCUCCACUUCUUCAUUGAAAUCUCUAUCUGUUGGAUCCUCAGAUGCUAUGAUGUCUCCCAGGGGAGGUACCUCAACAUGUUUCCAGGAUCCAAACUCUCAAAUUGAAUUAUGCUCUGGUUUUGCAAUAUUGCAGCCCUGGAUAGGCAGCUUCACCUCAUUUGUGGACCUUCAUAUUUGUGACUGCGCUGAAUUGACAUCAUGGUUGGAAGAGAUGCAUUCCCUCAAAAGCCUGCCAACACUCAAAAACUUUCAUUGUUGGAACCUACUUGAAGAUGCCAAAAGGAAACAUUUCAAGUUCAAGAAUAGAGAGAGCCAUGCUUGGUGCAGAUUCCAUCAAUAUAGAGAGACAUUUCAGAUUUCAUCUUGCAUAAGACGCGUGUGAAUAUUUCUUCUUGGCACAACUUGAAAUCACUGCCUACAUUCUUCCAUUUCCCAGCUCAAAAUCACGUGGCAGAAGUUUUGAACUGCCAAAAAAUUUGUGAUGGCCCAUAAAUUCUUAUCUACCAGAUGACUAAUGGAGGAAGGUCCUGCUUUCUUUAGAAUUCAGUUCUACUCUUUGCCAUGUAUUACAGAUGCAAGUGUUGCUGGGUCAAAGCAAAAUACCAGAUGGUAAUGUAGUUGUGACACCUUAUUUCUCUAAAGCAACUCAAAAGUGGGAAUUGUCAUAGAUUAAUAUUCUCUCAGUGGCAGCCACACCUCAUUUCUCUCAAGUCAU